AUCAGCAAGUCUAAGACUUGCAUUCAUAUGCUCACAAACACUGCUCUACUCCUCUGCAUAGCCGCCCAGAACUGCGUGCUGGAGAUGUAGGACAACUGUCACACAUGGUCCCUGGGCUCCUGGCACUUAUGCUUUAGCAGAGAAGAUGGAUUCAAACACGUCACUGGCAACUGGAAAUACAAGUGGAUAUGGCCGGCCGUGCAACCAGGAUCUUGACUUGCAACGCAAGAAAGAACUUCAGGACAAGUCAGAGUGGAACACAACUGUUGCCUGCUGGAGAUCCAGAUGGAAAUUUCUAGUACACAUGAGUCUGGAGCCUAGAUGCAAUGGAUGACUGGAGAUAGCCAUCACUGAGUCAUCUGCACAGAGACGAACGCUGAAGCCACUUAGGGACACCGGCAUUUAAGGAUGCUGUGUGGCUCUUUCUCUGAGGCUGGAUGUGAUCAUUGCCAUCGUGAUUCAGAGCAGCAGUGAGAACAGAAGACCCUCAAGACCACGCCCACUACCAGCAUGGAAGUUAGGGGGGACACAUGCAUCUGCGGCAUCUGCUUGAAGCCCACAGUGAAGCAUUUUGAAUAAUAAUCCAGAAGCUGGAUGCUUUUAAGGAAACCCAGAGGACAGAAACAUGUUGCUGUCUGACUGAGUUUGAUCCCUAGGAUCCACAUGGUGAAAGGGGAGAACCAGUUCCUGCAAGUUCUCUGACCUUUA